UACAGAGGGGGCAAGCGUUGUUCGGAAUUACUGGGCGUAAAGGGCGCGUAGGCGGCCUUCUAAGUCGAACGUGAAAUCCCCGGGCUCAACCCGGGAACUGCGUCCGAUACUGGCAGGCUUGAAUCCGGGAGAGGGAUGUGGAAUUCCAGGUGUAGCGGUGAAAUGCGUAGAUAUCGGGAGGAACACCAGUGGCGAAGGCGGGUCUCUGGGCCACUACUGACGCUGAGGAGCGAAGGCGUGGGGAGCGAACAGG
rnacentral:rRNA from 1 species